AGCUGUUCCUGGCUCAGGUCCUCGAGCGCAACCAAGAGCAGCUCGCGGGCGGCAGCAGCUAGGGGUUCCAUGCUGGGAACCGCGCACGAGGACCCCGAUCGGGGGCUUUGCUCCGCGGCGUUCCAAGGCUUUGGCGCUGGCUGCAUCGCGGUUUGGUGGUGAAGUGGGGCCACUCCCGGGCGGGCACUGGCCGCCGGUGACUUAAGCGCUAGGGGGCGCCAUCCUGCUCCGCACCUCCCUCCUCGUUCCAAGUCAAGCCUCCCAGGUCACAUUCUCUGAGAACCCGUGGGGUGUGGCACUGAAGCGUGGCCGUGAGCAGGUAACUUCAGAGCAAGGUCGACAGCAUGGAGGAGAUGGUGGUUCAGAACAAGACCUUAACCUUAACAAGUCCUCAAGAUAGG